ACAAAAUCGCAAAUAUGGUAAAUUUCAAGGCUAAAUAUUGCAAAUUCCAGUGGAAAUAUGGCGUUUUACCGCCAUGCAUACAUAGCUAUUCACAGCCCAAGAAUUACUCAGAAUUACAACAGAUUGAUAACAUGUAAAAUUGGGACGAUUCGAAGACAACAGAGUACCAAAGAAGCAAAAAGAUAUGGAAUUUCUAAAAUAUAUCUUGCUAUGGAACGAAUAUUCAAUAUAUUAGUGUACCAAAUAAAAACUCA